CCAUAGGAGAGCCCGAAACGGUUAAACAGGCGUUUCCCGGUCUGGGGGGUACGCGGCGUUUGUUAACGACCGGUGAACGGCAGGAAUCAUCACACUGAGAGGGACCAUCGGCCAUGGCAGCGGGAAGGGGGGAGUCGGGAAGGCAGCAAGAAGGCGAAGAAGGCAAGGCAGAUAGAGUAAGCCAGGCGGUGUAGUCGACCUCCAAUCUUCCUACCCAGGUUUGCAGGUCGAUGUCGAAAGCUUUCUGGAGAGUGAGCUGGAUGAUGAGGUGGUCAUGCCCUCGGGAAGGAGUGCUGGUUGGCGCGGGUCGGGGUCCGAGGCGAUUGACGACUUUCCUUUGCACGGUGGGUGGUGAUCCCUGGGUUGAGGCGCUCGUCGCUCGCGGACGACCGUUUGCCUGGAAAAAAUAGCCCUCGUCGGGUGAUCUCCGGCUGUGUCCCCUCCGACAAGCAAGUUAGUAGUGAGAUGGAUUGUUUUCUCUUUUUUGGUCGGAUGUCGGCCAGAGGUUUUAUACUGUUGUAUGAGGGUCGGUAGCACUUUGAUUCGACGUGGUCGUUGCCUCU